rnacentral:rRNA from 1 species
AUUGAACGCUGGCGGCAUGCUUUACACAUGCAAGUCGAACGGUAACAGGCCGCAAGGUGCUGACGAGUGGCGAACGGGUGAGUAAUGCAUCGGAACGUGCCCAGUCGUGGGGGAUAACGCAGCGAAAGCUGUGCUAAUACCGCAUACGAUCUAUGGAUGAAAGCGGGGGACCGUAAGGCCUCGCGCGAUUGGAGCGGCCGAUGUCAGAUUAGGUAGUCGGUGGGGUAAAGGCUCACCAAGCCAACGAUCUGUAGCUGGUCUGAGAGGACGACCAGCCACACUGGGACUGAGACACGGCCCAGACUCCUACGGGAGGCAGCAGUGGGGAAUUUUGGACAAUGGGCGCAAGCCUGAUCCAGCAAUGCCGCGUGCAGGAAGAAGGCCUUCGGGUUGUAAACUGCUUUUGUACGGAGCGAAAAGGUUUGGGUUAAUACCCUGGGCCGAUGACGGUACCGUAAGAAUAAGCACCGGCUAACUACGUGCCAGCCGCCGCGGUAAGAC